AAUCAACGCUGGCGGCGUGCCUCAGACAUGCAAGUCGAACGAUUAAAGCUCUCUUCGGAGAGUGUAUAGAGUGGCGCACGGGUGAGUAACACGUAAGUAAUCUACCUUCGAGUGGGGAAUAACGUCCGGAAACGGACGCUAAUACCGCAUAAUGCAGCGGCAUCGCAAGAUGACAGUUGUUAAAGAUUUAUCGCUUGAAGAGGAGCUUGCGGCAGAUUAGCUAGUUGGUAAGGUAACGGCUUACCAAGGCUACGAUCUGUAUCCGGUCUAAGAGGACGGUCGGACACACUGACACUGAAUAACGGGUUCAGACUCCUACGGGAGGCAGCAGUCGGGAAUUUUGGGCAAUGGGCGAAAGCCUGACCAGCAACGCCGCGUGAAGGAUGAAGUAUUUCGGUAUGUAAAACUUCGAAAGAAUAGGAAGAAUUAAUGACGGUACUAUUUAUAAGGUCCGGCUAACUACGUGCCAGCAGCCGCCGU
rnacentral:rRNA from 1 species